rnacentral:misc_RNA from 1 species
AAGUCGUAACAAGGUUUCCGUAGGUGAACCUGCGGAAGGAUCAUUACUGAGUGCGGGCCCCUCCCGGGUCCAACCUCCCACCCGUGUCUCUUGCAUACCCUGUUGCUUUGGCGGGCCCACCGGGGUACUCCCGGUCGCCGGGGGGCACUGCGCCUCCGGGCCCGCGCCCGCCAGAGCGCCUAUGAACCCUAAUGAAGAUGGACUGUCUGAGUGUGAGAUAUAAUGAUCAAAACUUUCAACAAUGGAUCUCUUGGUUCCG